UUAAGCGACUAAGCGUACACGGUGGAUGCCCUGGCAGUCAGAGGCGAUGAAGGACGUGCUAAUCUGCGAAAAGCGUCGGUAAGGUGAUAUGAACCGUUAUAACCGGCGAUGUCCGAAUGGGGAAACCCAGUGCAAUUCGUUGCACUAUCGUUAACUGAAUACAUAGGUUAACGAGGCGAACCGGGGGAACUGAAACAUCUAAGUACCCCGAGGAAAAGAAAUCAACCGAGAUUCCCCCAGUAGCGGCGAGCGAACGGGGAGCAGCCCAGAGUCUGAAUCAGCUUGUGUGUUAGUGGAACGGUCUGGAAAGUCCGACGGUACAGGGUGAUAGUCCCGUACACCAAAAUGCACAGGUUGUGAACUCGAAGAGUAGGGCGGGACACGUGGUAUCCUGUCUGAAUAUGGGGGGACCAUCCUCCAAGGCUAAAUACUCCUGACUGACCGAUAGUGAACCAGUACCGUGAGGGAAAGGCGAAAAGAACCCCGGCGAGGGGAGUGAAAAAGAACCUGAAACCGUGUACGUACAAGCAGUGGGAGCACCUUCGGGUGUGACUGCGUACCUUUUGUAUAAUGGGUCAGCGACUUAUAUUCUGUAGCAAGGUUAACCGUAUAGGGGAGCCGCAGGGAAACCGAGUCUUAACUGGGCGUUAAGUUGCAGGGUAUAGACCCGAAACCCGGUGAUCUAGCCAUGGGCAGGUUGAAGGUUGGGUAACACUAACUGGAGGACCGAACCGACUAAUGUUGAAAAAUUAGCGGAUGACUUGUGGCUGGGGGUGAAAGGCCAAUCAAACCGGGAGAUAGCUGGUUCUCCCCGAAAGCUAUUUAGGUAGCGCCUCGUGAACUCAUCUUCGGGGGUAGAGCACUGUUUCGGCUAGGGGGUCAUCCCGACUUACCAACCCGAUGCAAACUACGAAUACCGAAGAAUGUUAUCACGGGAGACACACGGCGGGUGCUAACGUCCGUCGUGAAGAGGGAAACAACCCAGACCGCCAGCUAAGGUCCCAAAGUCAUGGUUAAGUGGGAAACGAUGUGGGAAGGCACAGACAGCCAGGAUGUUGGCUUAGAAGCAGCCAUCAUUUAAAGAAAGCGUAAUAGCUCACUGGUCGAGUCGGCCUGCGCGGAAGAUGUAACGGGGCUAAACCAUGCACCGAAGCUGCGGCAGCGACACUAUGUGUUGUUGGGUAGGGGAGCGUUCUGUAAGCCUGCGAAGGUGUGCUGUGAGGCAUGCUGGAGGUAUCAGAAGUGCGAAUGCUGACAUAAGUAACGAUAAAGCGGGUGAAAAGCCCGCUCGCCGGAAGACCAAGGGUUCCUGUCCAACGUUAAUCGGGGCAGGGUGAGUCGACCCCUAAGGCGAGGCCGAAAGGCGUAGUCGAUGGGAAACAGGUUAAUAUUCCUGUACUUGGUGUUACUGCGAAGGGGGGACGGAGAAGGCUAUGUUAGCCGGGCGACGGUUGUCCCGGUUUAAGCAUGUAGGCUGAUUGUCCAGGCAAAUCCGGAUAAUCAAGGCUGAGGUGUGAUGACGAGGCACUACGGUGCUGAAGUAACAAAUGCCCUGCUUCCAGGAAAAGCCUCUAAGCAUCAGGUAACAUUAAAUCGUACCCCAAACCGACACAGGUGGUCAGGUAGAGAAUACCAAGGCGCUUGAGAGAACUCGGGUGAAGGAACUAGGCAAAAUGGUGCCGUAACUUCGGGAGAAGGCACGCUGGUGUGUAGGUGAAGUCCCUGCGGAUGGAGCUGAGACCAGUCGAAGAUACCAGCUGGCUGCAACUGUUUAUUAAAAACACAGCACUGUGCAAACACGAAAGUGGACGUAUACGGUGUGACGCCUGCCCGGUGCCGGAAGGUUAAUUGAUGGGGUUAUCCGUAAGGAGAAGCUCUUGAUCGAAGCCCCGGUAAACGGCGGCCGUAACUAUAACGGUCCUAAGGUAGCGAAAUUCCUUGUCGGGUAAGUUCCGACCUGCACGAAUGGCGUAAUGAUGGCCAGGCUGUCUCCACCCGAGACUCAGUGAAAUUGAACUCGCUGUGAAGAUGCAGUGUACCCGCGGCAAGACGGAAAGACCCCGUGAACCUUUACUAUAGCUUGACACUGAACAUUGAGCCUUGAUGUGUAGGAUAGGUGGGAGGCUUUGAAGCGUGGACGCCAGUCUGCGUGGAGCCAACCUUGAAAUACCACCCUUUAAUGUUUGAUGUUCUAACGUUGGCCCCUUACCGGGGUUGCGGACAGUGUCUGGUGGGUAGUUUGACUGGGGCGGUCUCCUCCCAAAGCGUAACGGAGGAGCACGAAGGUUAGCUAAUCCUGGUCGGACAUCAGGAGGUUAGUGCAAUGGCAUAAGCUAGCUUGACUGCGAGCGUGACGGCGCGAGCAGGUGCGAAAGCAGGUCAUAGUGAUCCGGUGGUUCUGAAUGGAAGGGCCAUCGCUCAACGGAUAAAAGGUACUCCGGGGAUAACAGGCUGAUACCGCCCAAGAGUUCAUAUCGACGGCGGUGUUUGGCACCUCGAUGUCGGCUCAUCACAUCCUGGGGCUGAAGUAGGUCCCAAGGGUAUGGCUGUUCGCCAUUUAAAGUGGUACGCGAGCUGGGUUUAGAACGUCGUGAGACAGUUCGGUCCCUAUCUGCCGUGGGCGCUGGAGAAUUGAGGGGGGCUGCUCCUAGUACGAGAGGACCGGAGUGGACGCAUCACUGGUGUUCGGGUUGUCAUGCCAAUGGCACUGCCCGGUAGCUAAAUGCGGAAGAGAUAAGUGCUGAAAGCAUCUAAGCACGAAACUUGCCCCGAGAUGAGUUCUCCCUGAGACUUUAAGUCUCCUGAAGGAACGUUGAAGACGACGACGUUGAUAGGCCGGGUGUGUAAGCGCAGCGAUGCGUUGAGCUAACCGGUACUAAUGAACCGUGAGGCUUAACCUU
rnacentral:rRNA from 2 species